UCCUUUGCCACCUGAGGUCCUCGAUCCUUUGAGGUUGACAAGUGGCGCCAUAACUACCCAUCGAGGAGUGAUCGGCAAGCAUUUUGAACCCUACAGAAUGUGGUGGCUCCAGUAGACCAAUUUGGAUACCUCUCCAAAAUAUCUGGCUCAGGAUAAGCCAUCAAACCGGAGGAGAAUCCUCACCCAUGUCAGGGGCUGAAGACUCAACCCCCAAUUCUGGAAAUGGCAGCCUUGACCCUGAAGAGACCCCAAAAAAGGAAGAUGGCCUCAAGCACUCCUCCAACUUGAGAACAAUUGAAGAAUCUCGCAGUGUGCUGAACGAGUUUUGGAGGAGUGUGGCUCCCUGUAAAUCUAACCAGGAAUUGGGAAGAAAACCCUGUGGAAGGCCUAUUAUCAAAAGUGUUAAAUGGAUUGGUUUCCCGAGGUCGACGUUUCAUCGAGUUCUUGGUGCUGGUGAUCCUGGGGCUUAUUGGAAUUGCCAUAACUGCUGCAGUUGCAGGAGUAGCACUGCAAACUUCUUUACAAACCCAUGAUUUUGUAAAAACCUGGCAGGAAAAAUCACAUAA